rnacentral:rRNA from 1 species
UACGUAGGGUGCAAGCGUUAAUCGGAAUUACUGGGCGUAAAGCGUGCGCAGGCGGUUAUGUAAGACAGUUGUGAAAUCCCCGGGCUCAACCUGGGAACUGCAUCUGUGACUGCAUAGCUAGAGUACGGUAGAGGGGGGAUGGAAUUCCGCGUGUAGCAGUGAAAUGCGUAGAGAUGUGGAGGAAUACCGAUGGCGAAGGCAGCCCCCCUGGGAUAACACUGACGCUCAUGCACGAAAGCGUGGGGAGCAAACAGG